rnacentral:ribozyme from 1 species
AGGACGAAGAUGAUGAUUGGGAUAUGGAUCGGAAGGGAGGAAAAAAAGGGAAGAAAGGGAAUGGAAAGGGAUCCGCUGGGGGGGUUCCUGCGAUUACUUCAGUGGCACAAGUA